rnacentral:rRNA from 1 species
UACGAGGGGAGCAAGCGUUGUUCGGAUUUACUGGGCGUAAAGGGCGUGUAGGCGGCCACGACAAGUCACUUGUGAAAUCUCCGGGCUUAACUCGGAACGGUCAAGUGAUACUGUCGGGCUAGAGUACAGAAGGGGCAACUGGAAUUCUCGGUGUAGCGGUGAAAUGCGUAGAUAUCGAGAGGAACACCUGCGGCGAAGGCGGGUUGCUGGGCUGAUACUGACGCUGAUGCGCGAAAGCCAGGGGAGCGAACGGG